rnacentral:rRNA from 1 species
UGAGCAAUCUGCCCUUCACAUCGGAAUAACCAUUGGAAACGAUGGCUAAUACCGAAUAUGACUUCGGAUCGCAUGAUCUGAAGUGGAAAGCUCCGGCGGUGAAGGAUGAGCUCGCGGCCUAUCAGCUUGUUGGUGAGGUAACGGCCCACAAGGCGACGACGGGUAGCCGGCCUGAGAGGGCGACCGGCCACACUGGAACUGAGAUACGGUCCAGACCUCUACGGGGAGG